rnacentral:rRNA from 1 species
UUUAACUGAGCGUUCAGUUACUUGACGUAGACCCGAAACCGGGCGACCUACCCAUGAGCAGGAUGAAGCGAAAGUAAAAUUUCGUGGAGGUCCGAACCCACGAGCGUUGAAAAGCUCGGGGAUGACUUGUGGGUAGCGGUGAAAUUCCAAUCGAGCCCGGAGAUAGCUGGUUCUCCCCGAAAUAGCUUUAGGGCUAGCCUCAAGGUGAGAGAUACGGAGGUAGAGCACUGAAUGUCCUAGGGGGUAUUGCACCUACCGAAGACUAUCAAACUCCGAAUGCCGUCAUCUUAUACUUGGGAGUCAGACUGUGGGUGAUAAGAUUCAUAGUCGAAAGGGCAACAGCCCAGAUCGUCAGCUAAGGUCCCUAAAUGUAAGUUAAGUGGUAAAGGAUGUGGGAUUGCACAGACAACCAGGAUGUUGGCUUAGAAGCAGCCACUCAUUCAAAGAGUGCGUAAUAGCUCACUGGUCGAGUGAUCCUGCGCCGAAGAUUUCCGGGGCUAAAACUUACUACCGAAGCUACGGCAUCAGUAAUGAUGGGUAGGGGAGCUUCCCAUACGGGUUGAAGCAUGACCGUAAGGACAUGUGGACAGUAUGGGAGUGAGAAUGUUGGCAUGAGUAGCGAGAUGUGGGUGAGAAUCCCACAGGCCGUAAACCCAAGGUUUCCAGGGGAAGGUUCGUCCGCCCUGGGUUAGUCGGGACCUAAGCUGAGGCCGAAAGGCGUAGGUGAUGGACAACAGGUUGA